rnacentral:lncRNA from 1 species
AAAUUAUGGUGUUCAAUUGAAACUUAAUGGAUUUGCAAAAUUCAAAGCAUAAGUCAAUUGCCUCUGAUGAGAGGACUUCAGCCAACCCAAUAAAUGCAAGAAACAAGCUAUAAACAAGGUGUUUCGAAGAAAAUAAGUUUGGAUAUCCACCUUUGAAAUGUGUAUCUUAAGAGCACGAUUCUUCAAAGCUUUUGCUUGCAGUGUGAUCUAGGGAUGAAGAGGAAGCAAGGUCAAGGAAUUAUGAGUCUGAAAAUC